CAAGGUUUCCGUAGUUGACCUUGCGGAAGGAUCAUGGUGGUGACCUUUAANNCCAAACCAGCCCGGGAACAGUUCUCCCCGGUCGNUGGGGUUUGGGUCAGCCUAGGCCCCGACAUUUGGCCUUCGGAGCGGAGGGGCCCCACCGGNNNACCUUAGGGCCCGGUGGGCGCCAAGGACCCCAAAAAUUCCCUUGGGAGGGNUGAGGGCUGGCCUGCCGGCCUAANCCCCGAGCAGCGAUGAUUCAUGAAUCCACACGACUCUCGGCAACGGAUAUCUCGGCUCUCGCAUCGAUGAAGAACGUAGCAAAAUGCGAUACCUGGUGUGAAUUGCAGAAUCCCGUGAACCAUCGAGUUUUUGAACGCAAGUUGCGCCCGAGGCCUUCGGGCCGAGGGCACGUCUGCCUGGGCGUCACGCCAAUAGACACUCCCCUCCCACCAUAGGCAGGGGACGUGGAGUCUGGCCUCUCGUGCCGCAGGGCGCGGUAGGCCAAAGUCUAGGCUGCCGGCGUAUCUUGCCGGGCGCCGCAUGUGGUGGGCGACUUCUAGCAGCCCUCGGUGCAGCGCCUUGGCACGUAGCCAGCAUAUCGGCCGAAAGGACCCNAUCGAUGUCCNAGAGCGCGUGU
rnacentral:rRNA from 1 species